rnacentral:lncRNA from 1 species
GGUUAAAGUGCUAAACACCUCAACAGUCUCAGAAGUAUCUGUGUUCGGUUUCGUUCCGCGCACGCCCUCCCACUUUCUGCACUUCUCUAUUCAGCUUUUACGCACGAAUCCAGAGCCGCUUUAGGUCAGCAGAGGCUCCUGUGAGCCAUCAGAGAAUGAGUGAUGGUUUGCCGUCUCUGCACGAAGAUGCUCCUGCUGUCUGCUCUGUUGUUCAUUCUCUGGGGAGGAACAGGUCUGUGUCUGGAGGAGGACGGAGGGUUCCACUUCAAGGGAGACAUCCGCCACUACGCCGUAACCAAUAGCACGGUUUAUAUCGCCACUGAAGAGAUGCUGUACCAGCUGAGUCACGACCUGACUCUGGUCCAGAGUCUGACCCAGAGGGGGAUCUUGGAAGACGCUCUUCGGCCGACUGACGCGCAGUUCAAGCGAGUUUCUGGCACGGAUAAGUUUAACGCAACUUUCAGUGUUAACGUGUUGUUGCCGCUUGUCGCUGAUAACAAUCUGAUAACAUGUGGUGUGACUGAUAACGGGUGUGGUUACUGUGAGCUGCUGGACUUGAAGAACAUUUCCAACGUGCUGUACCGGGAACUCAUCCAGGUGGGGUCUCUGAGGCACAGCAGCGCGUCCGUGAGCUUCCUGGUGAGUGUGGAGACUCAAACCCGGACAGAGACUUACAUUGUGGCUGCUGUUCAGCAAUACAAAGACGAACCGACAAAGGACAUCUGUCCCUCUGCGUCAGAGGCGGUGAGCCUCCAUAACACCAAUAACGAUCAGAUAGGACAAAUAUUUUCUAUUCAAAGCGAGGACAGAAAACCUUUUAUCAAAGUUAAGGACGAUGUGGAGUUUGUGGAUGGAUUUCAGUUUAACUCCAUCAUUUAUCUUUUCUCCAAUCUGCCCUCAAAAUAUGAAAGUAACAAAGUCCGUCUGCUUUGGCUUGAUGGCAAAGGAGGUAAAGGUAAGACUGUUCAGUCGUUGCGGGGCGCGACCCUCAGUGUCUCUGAUGGAGGUGAAGACCGCAGACUGAUCGCCUCCUCGGUCAUCCCUGGCGGUCCCCCGGUGCUCUGGAGCGGUGUGUUCAGUGUGGGCGAAGGACAUACAAACACCGAGCUGGUGGUGUUUGACAUUAAUCCUGAUCUUAGUGGAAGGACCGAUGUGGACCCGGACUUCUGCUUUAACUGUGUUGCCAGGAACAAACCAACGGUGAGUGGUCGUCAAAUUAUGUUGCUUUAAUGAGCACUUGUGUCCACAUCCAUCUUUACCUCAAACAUAUAAUUAAUUGAAGAGUUAAUCCAUUUUAAAACAGCUCUCUAAAAGAAAACAAGAUUGUAUCACUUGGAUAAAGAGUUUUUUUCUGCCAGGGAGGUUUCAGCUCAAUUCUAAAAUUGUUUAAAAUGAGUAGAAAAUCAAAAGUAUUAAAACUAUCUCAAAGUGCAGUCUUGUCUCUCCUGACAGCCUUUUUAAUAAAGGAACUAAGUUUUACUAACUGAAGCUGAACUUAUUAAAGUAUUGGUUUAGUUCAUGAAGGUUUAUAAAAGAUAAUGGGUCAGUUUUGAAGCGUGAUAGAGAUUUGUACCCUUUAAUAAUAAAGAAAUAUUUGGCGUCUAAUUACGAAUUUAUUGUGUUUCUCAGCCAAAGACACUGAAGCCAAAGGCAGUGGUCUUCAGGCAGAACUACAUGACCUCUGUGCUGGCAGUGAGACAAAAGGCCUGGAUAGUUUUCUUCAUCGGGACAGGAGAUGGACAGCUUAUUAAGGUGAGUGUACAAAGGGACAUGCAGCAUGGGGACAGCUGCUGUGAAAGUAGGCUUAGUAGGCUACUUUGAAGUUAUAACCACUUAAACAGCAGCGAAUUGAAAUGGUCAACAAAAGCUAGUUAGAAAGCGGCUCAAAUGCAGCUGGUGAUUGUGGUGCAGAUUUAUUCUAGAAAUUUCACACUUCUUUCAAACUUCCAACAAACUCCCUCUGCUUCAUUAGUUGAUCAAAACCUACACUUGCAUUUCAGAGACUCAAGAUUGUUUUGUAUACAUGUCUGGUUGUGGGUCCCCGCAUGCAUGCAUCCCCCUUCUAAAACGGUCAACCCAACUUUCCAUCCCUUAAGGCCAUUUUUGUCAAUGAAUGUGUCAAUAUUACUGCUAUUAUAACAUUAGAAAUAGUACAGCAAUUUUAACGUUUAGGGCAGUGCAUGGAGCCACACAUACACACCUACAUACAUGCCAAACAUUUCCCUCCCCGCCAGCAUCGAUAAUUACCCACCAAACAGCUCUACUUUUCCUUCUCCCUUCUGUGUUGGAUAGGGUAACCAAGGGUGCGCACUUGGAGCUCUAUCAGCUUACUUAAACCUACAUUUACAUUGAUAUUCAUCCUUCUGGGCGUCCAUUCACGCCAUCAUGCCGGCUCAUGUUUCCAAAUGAGGAAGCAGAGCGCAUGAUGUCUGUGUGUAAAAUAGGUGGGUAUAUCAAAGUGGUCACAUGAUGCAAGAAUAAUUAAUUCCCUUGUUGCUUGAUAUGAAUCCUUCAAAAUUAAUGCUCCAUUGAUUUGAGUAAAAACUUUCUGAAAAAGGUUUGAAGGUUAAAAAUGUUUUAAAUGUGAAAAAAUAAGUUUUUUCCAAACUUAUGAAAUUGAUAAUGCCCACUGGGAGGGGCUAGGGAGGUUUAAAAAAAGGCUUCCUGGGCCUUUCUUUUUUGAGACUGGGGAUUUUUGCAUUAACAGUAACUGCCAAACCGACUUUUGUAUUGCUGCUGUGUUUUUGUUUUUUUCCCUUUGAGUGAGAAUCUUGAGCAAUAGUGAAACUCUUUUGCGUAUAUUUAGUUAAAUACUCUGGGUUAGGUGGCAUGUGUGAAAAUGAGAUGUUUUCCUUUUUCAAAAAAAGAAAUGACAUCAGUGAGCAGUGCUGGGGAUGCUGUUGCGAUUUCAGUAUCAUGGCCAAGUGACAUGGACAGCUCAAUCUGAGGGAUUAUCUAACAUGAUAAUUAUCUUUGUGCCUUAGUAACAAUAAAAUGGCUACACAGUUGGUUUCCCACCACAUGCACCGUCAUCAGAACAAAAUAUCUGUCCCAAACAAUAAAAUCCACCAUCCCCCCUGAUUUUUUUACAACUCGACUACUGCUGUUGAGACACAUGUCAUGUUGUAUUCAGAAAAUAUUCAUAACUUCUGGCCUGUUGGCCAUUGACAAUUAAUUCUUAAGAGGAAACCCUGUUUGAAAAACCUGGCUAUUGAGUUACAUUUCCUUUUUCUCCCUUUUAUUUGAUUAGAGAUUGCUUCCUACUAUUAAGAUCUGAAUUGAGUCAAUCAGUCCUAUAUGUGCAGAAGAGUUUUUGAACGUGACUCAGAGGAAACUGUGUUCGCAUCAGAGUGUUGCUUUGGCCACAGACCAGCACAGAAAUGAAACUUAACCACUUAAGAAAUCCCACAGCCAUUUUCAGAGGCUGCAGUAAUUUUCAGAGUAAAUUCAGCAGCAGACAAAUUCAGUCUCUGAGAAAUAUCACUGAAGUGCCUUCUUGUUUUCAGCUUGCUGUGGACAAGAACUACCAGACCAUCUGUCCAAAGGUGCUCUACAAAACCAGUGAUGACCGUCAAGUGUUUUCAAAACUACAUCUGGAUCAGGUGGAUCUGAAACAUGUUUAUGUGCCAUUUCAAAACCAGGUAGGUGCAAGUUUAGGUACAGUACUACAUUUUAGACCUUACAGUGGAUGUAUGCUGUGCUUUUAUGUCCUGCUAAGUUGCUGAUUUUGUUUAUUUAGAUCAAUCAUGUUCCUGUGUCAAAGUGCAGCACAUACAAAACUGUGCAGGAUUGUUGGUCUGCACAGGAUCCAUACUGUGUCUGGUGUGGCCCUGAAAGAAGGUUAGAAACAUCAUCUGCAGUGAACAUCAGUGAAGGAAUUUAAAACUUGGAUAAGACUUACCCUUUUUUCUUCUCCUAGCUGUACAUUUGAAGAAAACUGCCAGGGCUCAGACUGGUUGUCCAUUCCUGAUGAUUCUCAGCACAAAAUGGUUUCCUAUCAAGUUACGCAGGACCUGACUGGACAGGUAGAGAUUAGGGUUAAGUUCUGAGUUAUGAUGAGUUGUGGCUCUCUGAUAGUCGAUUGUUUAUUUACUCCUAUCUGGAUAUGUUUCAGAUCACACUUAACAUCCAGGUGCAUGUGACAGCGGGCGAAGAGGUGCUCUCUAACUUUGCCUGCCACUUCUCUACAAGUUCCACUGAGCGCUUUAAAAUGGAAAACCCGCGUCCACAGUUUCCACAUUGUUCUUCCACCUUUGAAGCAAGCACACUUCCUGCUGGAGGUCAGUCAUUUAUGAUAGAUAAUAAUAAUAUGAUUAAAAUUUAAAAAAUGUAUGAUUGUUAUAUUUAGUAUAUAUUUUUUUAUUACAACAGGACUGCCUGUAGUUGUGAAAAUGAGACUUGGUUCAUCACAGUUGACUGAGAGGCUGAACCUGCUCAACUGUACGGACAUCAGCGGACCACCAACACCUGUCCUGUAAGUCCUCCACUGUUUUCUACUAAUCUAAGCUGACAGAAAAACACAUAAAGUCCUUAUUUUGACCAGACUGGGAGAGCUAUCAAGCAAACAAAAACUGGUUCCAUGUAGACAAAUCAUGUGGAGAGAGACCGUGGAUGUAAAAGUCUUUAAUGGAGUUUAACCAAACUUUUGAGGACUGACUGUCCAUCUGAGAAAACAUGGUUUUGAUUUCAGGGGUCUUCAACAAAUCUGUCCUAUACCUUUAACCCAGAAAGAUAUUAACCCAAACCCGACUAAGUAGUGUUGAUCCCUUAAAGCUCUGUUUUGUUUUCAGAUGCCAAACGUGUAUCAAGGCUGGAUGUGGCUGGACCAUGAACAGAUGUUCUUGGGCAAAUCAAGGCACCGGGAAUGUAAUUAUGCAUGUUUUUAUUCACUGAUAUAACAAUAACUUUCAGAUGGACUGUGCUGAAAUAGACACCCACAGAUCUCUAAUUUGUCAUAUUUUUGAUUGCUACUUAAAUGAAGACUGCAAACACAUGAGACACAAAUUAGUGUUACUUAAAGAAUCAUUUUCAAUGUAGUUUAACAGCUACUGUCACCAGCGUGAGAGGUAGAAGCAGUAGAAGAGGUGGUAGAUGGUAUCCAAAGUAGAAGUGUGUUAAAUCUACCAAUAAAAAAUAAUAGUCAAAGGUUUUAUGGAUGAAUUUAUUCAGCCAAGUCUGACCUUGGCUAGCAUAUCCUUACCAAACCUGGGUUUAACCAGCUUAGAUCAAAGUGGGAGCAAGACACAGCAGUACACUUUGUUGUUUAAGGCUGUGACACUGACAGCAGGACUGAAGACACUUUUAUAAUUUUAUGACUAUUUGUCUCUCAAGCUGCUAAACUUACUUCUCACUGCUCUUUCUGCAGGACAGUGUUUGCCAAAUGAUGAAGUCAUCAACAGACUGCCCUGUGAGUCCACCAUUUUUGCAUUCAGACCACAUUCACAUUCAGUAAAUUCAAAUAUUAGCAGAUGGUAGUGUAUAAAAUCUGAAUAAAACUGUUACCUUUUGUUGGUUUGACUGUCAGAGACCACAGAUAUCCUCCAUCACUCCCAGUGUUGUGUCUUUCCACGGCAGAAACAACGCAGUGUUGUCUGGUAGAAACCUCUGUUCUGUGAUCAGAGUGAGGAUCCAGGCAGACCUGGACUGCACACCACAAGAGUGAGUCAGUUUAUGGGUGACUGUAUGGGAUUUAUUCACACUUAAAAAUCACAUUUCAAAAGCUUCAAUGAUACAAAAAAGGCAGUCAGAUUGAGAAUUCACACAUUUUACUAUUUCAAAAUAGAUCACAGUUACUUCGGGACCUGCUUGAAACUAAAACAGUGUAUUUGCCCUUUAAAUUGAAGAUUUUCAAGCUAAUUCAUGAUUCCUCUCUAAUGUUUGAAUGAGUCUUUUAAACAGGGUUGCUAAAGAGGUGUCUUAAGAUGUUGCCUGGUUUUGAGACACAAAUGUUUGACAGUUUGCCCUGACAAAUCUGUCUUUGUUCUUAUAUUUUCUUUAAUUUUUUUGUGUUGUGAUAUUUUGUGAUCUGUUCCAACAGCUAUCAACACAUAAAAGCAGAAAAAGUUUGGUACCAGAGGGUUUCUCACAUCUAUUUUGUAGUAUAGUUUUUGGCUGCAUGGUGUUAUCUAACGGCUUAAACAGAAUCCAUUAGUAAUUUUCCUCUGAAGCUGAACCAUUGUCGGAUAAUAGAAAAUGGAUCGCAGGAUCCAAUUUCAUAGUUCCAAAUGUAAUCUCAGUUAGUUGUGUUCAGCUUUGACAUCUUGUCAGUUAAAACAGAUAUUAUAUUGUUUGUGCCAGAUAUUAGUAGUAUGCUUCUUACUUUGGUCUAUUUUUCAAAAAGUAUGUUGUAUAGAUGACAUUUGUAUAUUCUUGCAUUAAAACAGAAAUAACCUAAUAGUAUGUUGUUGUUCAUUUUACUUUGAAAGUAUCCUCUCAAACGAAUAUGAUUGUUUCCUGUAAAUUCAGACGCUUUUAUUCUGAAAAGAAAUGUGGAGACCAAGGAAUAAGAGAAACUGUAAAUUCAGUUUGAUCAACGUAAUUAAAAGAUCAUUGAAAUUUUGAUUUGAUAGAGGCACAAGGUUUGUACACAUAUUUCGUGUCUCGUGUAUACAAAAAAAAUGAUUUAAGAAUAUUUUUUUAGUUUUUGUUAAGAAGCAAUUAUGUGAGGGUGUUAAAUCUAGCAAGAAUGCUACAACCCUUAUAUUGGUUGUGUUAAAAGCAAAAAGCGUUUAUUUACAUUUGUAACCUGGAUUGAGACACACUAUCAAUUACUGUUUUUUUUUUAAAUCCCUUAAUUUUUAAGUUGAAGUGUGUAUUCUUGAGAUUGCUGAAAUUUGUAUUUAUACUAUAUGGUUGACAAUAGGCAACUUAAUAGGUAAUGUAAGUUUAUUGGCUAAAGUAGUUUGAGGAUGUUGAGGAUUGUCAAAACACAAACAUUUAAUAUAUAAAUAUUAAAUUGACUUUACUUUAAAAGAAUUUGUAGUGCUGAAAAUUACAUUUUAUCUUCUGUGAAUCUCACUGCUUCAGUUUCUCUUUGUCUCACUCUGUGCACUCUGGUUAGGUCUCCUGUUUGGAACAACACUGGUGAAACUCUGACGUUCCACAUACCCAGUGCAAAAUCUAAAGGUGUGGCCAAAGUAUGUGCUCUCCUCCCAGAUGGUAGCUGACAUGGUAACGCCUUAAUCACCUAUCGCUCAGCACCAUCCUGCACAAAAAUUACACCUGAAAGCACCUGGUUCAGGUAUGACUGUUUUAGGACUAUAGAAACCAUAAAAAUGCUAACAUAUAGACUUUGAUAAACAAGAUUACCCUUGACAUAUCAAGACAUUACUGAUGUAGUUAAAUACUACAAAAAAUCCUCACUUCUUGGAGCUCUAUUUUGCCUAACCAUCGGCUUACUGUACAUUAUUUUACUUUUUAAAUUUGGCGAAUAACCAACUUUAAAAAUACCUUUACACUAAAAAUCGAUUUCAAGAUUAUUUCAUUAAAACAUAUAUCCUUCAUUUGCUGUAAACCCCCAAUCUAAAGUUUUGUGCACUUCUUCAAAGUAAUUUUGAUAGUUAUAUUGAGGAUAUCCUUCAUGUCUACCAAUCCUUAAAUAACAUUUUACCAUUGUGAACAGGAAGAGGUGACAUCCUAAACUAUAUGUCCUGUAGCUCUUCUCCACAUACGGUGCUAUAAGAGUGCUGUGUGUAAUCUGAUUAUUUCUAGUGACACAUUCUUAUUUGAUUGCUUACUGCUCUGUGUGCCGUAGCUGGAAAAGGAAGAUCACAAUCAUUGGAUCCCACCUGGAGUUUGUGGAAGCCGUUAAACACAGUGGAGUCCUGCAGGAGGUUGGAUUUCCAGGACACAAUACCUAUCAGGUUGGUCUGUAAUAAUCAGAAAUAAUCAAAAUAUGGGAGGUUAAAAUAAUUCAACUGAUUAGUUUUCUUUAAAACGGUAGUGAACAAAAUGUGUACGAGUUAGUCUACUUGUUUUUAUUUUGUGUAAUUAUUCAGGCAUAUGUAAAGGCCUUUGCUUGAUCUUACAAAACAGUGGAAGUCAGAUAGUACAGGGUUUGACAAAUACAAUCACAGAUUAUACUGUUUUCAUUGCAUCCAAGAAGCUAUUCAUGAACAGUCGGCCCCUCCAAAUGGCUCCAAUUAUAGUCGUGCAUGAUUUCUGAUCGGUAUGUGUAUCAUGUAACAAGAUGUAAGCUCUCUAUAACGUGACACAAAAUGUUUUUGACAGGCACUCAAGAAUCUCACCUACGACUCACCUGCAGCUGAAAAUGCUCAAGGGACUUUUUCCAGCACUUUGACCCUGAAAGUAGCCAAUGAGAGCUUGACCUGUCCCACAAAAAUAACCUACUACCCAGACCCUGAGUUUACAAGCUUCACGUCUACAAAGAUAGGGGACAGUGUCCACAUCACUAUACAGGUAAUGCAAGAUUUUCCAGCACACAUGCGCAAUGAGGAGAUUAAAAUUUGAAUAUCAGCAAUUUUUUUCUGUUCUUGUUUCAGAAAAAGGCAGACAAACUCGAGAUGAGCCCUGAAGAGAUAUCAGUGUGGGGUAUUCAUGAAGGACAAAAAUACCCCUGCGAAAUGGAAGAGAAAGGAGCCAGUGGCAACACCGAGUAUUUCAUUUGUGAGAUUAAAAAUUCAAGCAUCACAGAUUUUCAAGAAUUGGAGGUAAGUUUUUAGUCGUGCCACUCCAAAUUAAACCAUGCUUUUGAUAGAUAAAAUAUACAUGUGUCUCUAAAGCUUUUACAGAAACACAGACUUCCUUUUUGAAAUCCUUUCUUAUACAGUUUGAUUGUUUCUUUGUCCCAGAUAAAGUAUGGAGACAAAACAGAAAUCCUUGAAUCUGCAUCAUGGUCUCCUCUCUUCCUGAUACUGCUUGUCUUACAACAGAUCCCAUUAAUUAUUGUUGGUAAGUACCCUUUCAUGGUUAGACGGCCUAUUUUGGUCUUACAGCAGUUUUAAAAACACUGACAAAUCUGGAAAAAACUGUGUUGUCUGCUUGGUUUUAUCUCCCAGUUGUGGGGAUCCUUUAUCUAAGCAACAAAAGAAGCUGAAUGUAAAGAUGAACAAGAUCAUGGAAAACCUGGAGCUCAACAUCAGGACAUCACCUCUCCUGUGUGCUGGCCCAUCCAGGACUGUGUCAGACUCUUCUUAUUCUCCCCCACACUGAGUCAAUUUUUUUUGCGUUGAAUGUUUUGCCUGUUGAUGCUCUUUGACGCUCAAAUUUUGCCUCCCACUAACACUCUAAAAGCUUGCAGUAACCACCUUUUUUUCUCUUUCAAAAUUUUUUCCUUUUAUCAAUGUAUCUGAUGGCAAACAAAUGCUACCUGGAGUGGCUAAAUUGUGUUAAUAUGUCAAUUGUUUGAAGUACUUGAAUGUUGUAUGUUAAUAAACAUUUUUUCGGUCAACAUUUGGUUUAAGAAAACAAGUUCAUCCAAUUCUGUGUUCUAUCACCUGAAAAUGACAUUCUAACAUGAGUAAACUAAUUUACACUCAAUGAUAUGCAUCUUAAAUAUUAUCCCGUUAACACUUUUGCAUCGCUGGUAUGAUGAGGUAAAAUUUACAACUAAGGGAACACGGGCGUGCUCAUCCCAAUGAGAAAUUUUGGUCUAAAAGAGGUCUAAUAGACGUCUAGUAGUCUAGACGACUGGUCUAAAAUCAGGCUACCACAGGUCUAAAAAUGAAAGGUUUUUAGACUUCUAAAUUUAAACCCAGUUUAGACUAGCCGGCUAACAGAGGUCUAACUGUAUAUCGCUCAAUGUUUAUCAUAAUUAUUUUGGUUAAGUACUCGGAGACAGUUCAACUCACAGUUACUUUUUGAAAUAGGUGGUUAUUGAAUAAUGGGUUAAAGUGCAACGUCUAAAUUCCAUCUAAAAAUAUAAUGAAUCUAGACCAGUGGUCUCCAUAUGGCGGACCGCGGUCCACUUCCGGACCGGGAAAGAGUCCAAUACGGACCCGAGCCUACCGCAUAAAAAUGUAUGUUUUUUUUCUCUCUUGUAGGCCUGCACGAUAUACGUGUGUGUGACAGUCACAUCGCAGAGCCUGCGAUGUCGGAGGUGAAUGAACUCAGUUAAUUCAAGGGUAGCUGACUGAGAUACACAGCAUGUGACUCUGCAUGUGCUGUGCACCGAUCCACCAAUCACCUUUGUCCUUUACUCAGUUGCCAAUCAGACUCAGUUCUCAGUUGCCAAUCAGACUACCCUGCCAGCUGUCAAUCAAAAUCAGAGAGGCGGAAACCCACCCCUGCACAUGUUCUGCACAUGGAGGUACUCGCUGCUGGUGUUGAGCCGAGAAAUGCGCGUCCGCUGAGAAUUACUUUCGGAACUUUACUGACUGUUAAGCCCAACAAAUAAGAACUGUAUGGGUUUUAAAUUGUACAUUUCCGUGGACCACUCUACUAUAAGCGGUGCGCGUUUUGCGAGGUGCAUGCAAUUCUCGGAGGACAUGCGUUUCUCGGCACAGCACCGCUAACAACAACAACAACGAUUGCAAAAUGAGCAACGAACAAGAGAAAACCACCGAAAAUGAAGAUUUGUUGCCAAAAAGAAAAGGAAAGUCAGUUAUCUGGAAUUAUUUCGGUUAAAAGAAGGAUGAUGUUGACCAAAACACGUGUUCUGUGUUCAUCUGUCGCCACAAUAACGUCCCAGCACAAUAAAAGCUAAAAAUAUCUCUGAGACAGACAGAAGCCAUUUUAACAUUCACAAAAAGAGGUAAGAUCAGUGCAGGUUAACUGUCCUCAAGAUUUCAGCGGUGCAGCAUAACAUUAAAUGCUAUUCAGGUCAUCUGGUGAAAAUUCCCGUAUUUUUAAUAUCGCAAUAUAUAUCGCAGGGUUGAAAAAAAUCGCACUGUUAUUUUUUUCCAAUAUCGUGCAGCCUUACUCUCUUGCUUUGUGCCUGGUUCAGUAAACUGCACGUGCAAUUUAAGCAAGGCAUUACAUCAUUUGCUUACUCGCUUGACUUGUCAAUCAAAUCAGACCUCUUAGCCUACUCCACACAUGAUGAUUACCGAGCAAUCCCGAUGUUGAAAACUGUCAGGCUGCAGACUGAGGAGAAAGUUGUAGCAGCAGCUAAACAUGUCGGCUUCAAAACCACGAAAGGUAGAGAAUGAGAACAGGGUGUUUUAUGGCGAGUGGACCGAGUCAUUUGCAUCCAUUUUACCCGCAGGAAGCACACAGCCAAUUGAAAUUUUCGAGGUCUAGAGCUCCUACUAAAGCUAUAACACCAUUUAUAUCAAUUGUUUAAAACUAUUUAAGGAAAGGCCUUUGAAUGAAAGCAUAUUUAUGACUGACAGCAUUGUAAACAAAACCUAACGGCCAGAGAGGCGAUAGUACCACAGACAACCUUUAAGCUAGCUACACAGAGACCAAGGUUACUGUGAUAGUCGUCUUAAUAAGCCAGUCUGUAUUUUUGACUCUGGGGUUUCUGCUCUUCUUGUCAAAUGUCAGACAGAUUCAGGUUUAAGUAAAGGGGGCUUGAACCUGCCCUGAUAGACCUGUAAAUCAGUUUCAGCUAUCAUGGUCAGCAAAUCGUUUAGUAGCAGUUUUGGCGCUGAGAGCAGGUGCUAAAUCCAGCCUGAAAAGGGAAUCAACAUCAGCAUCAGGGUCCUCACAUGGAGUGACCAAGCUCCAGUACUUGUCCUUCAAACUGAAAGACCCUGGUUUCCAAGAAAAAAUAUGAUUUUACUGACCUGAAAAGAGGACUUUGGACCUUGGAGCAACAGUCGAGUCUUUUUCUCCUGAAUCCAAGUAAGAUGACAUUUUCUCUGGUUCAGGGCUGGCUUGGUACUAGGAAUAUGGUAGUGGUAGUCUCCUGGUCCAGUCUUUUGAUGCACUCUAAGUCCACUUCUCAGGGUUGGGGCCAAGCUUAGAGGAUUUUUAGCAUAUCUGACUUGCUGAAACACACCUGUAAUUCCAGGAGAACAAAUUAGCAUGUGGUUAAAGGGGCAAAUUUAGUAAUGAUAGGAUGUAUACUGAAACACAUGGUCUUUGGGUUGUCAAAGCGUAAAGAAAUACAAAGAGGAUGGUUGCCCAAGUGAUCCAGAUUGUUAGAUAGGCUAGAUGAUUCAGAUGAAGGUCAAAGAAACCACCUCAGUACAUGUUCAGAGUGUGUUUAUAAAGAGCACAGUACGCUUUGAGCGGAAGAAAAACUUCCCCAAACUGGCACUAGAUGUCACCCACUCAUCAGCUGACAAAACUGUUGACUGGAUACGCAGAGAGGUGAUGAAAAAGAGCAAAAAUAAAAGCUCCAUUGACGUGCAUUGGUGUGGCAAUGAUGUUCCUCCUCGCGUUUGGUACUUGAGGUCGAUCGCAGUUGAUUAAUUUUCCAAAAUCUGGAGGCUAUCAUCACUGAGGUAAACUGUAUUUGCUUUGGAUUUAAAUAAAGUAGAAGUGUGACAAAUCGAGCACUGUGAAAAAAAAUUCUGGUGCCGAUGAUCACAAACAUUACGGUGCCAGUUUUCGGUUUCGUUGGACGCGCGCCCUCCCACUUCUGCACUUCUCCUUUCGGCAGAGGCGCACUGCGCUUUUACGCGCGACUCCAGUGACACUCUGUGAGAGAGCAGAGAGUCAUGAGGGCCAGCAGUAAAUGAGAGAGAAGUCGACACCGCUGCACGAUGGUGCUCCUGCUGCCCGCUCUGUUGUUCAUUCUCUGGGGAGGAACAGGUCAGUGUCUGGAGGAGGACAGAGAGUUCCGCUUCAAGGGAGACAUCCGCCACUACGCCGUAACCAACGGCACGGUUUAUAUCGCCACUGAAAAGAUGCUGUACCAGCUGAGUCACGACCUGACUCUGGUCCAGAGUCUGACCCAGAAGGGGAUCUUGGAAUACGCUCCUGAGUCGACUGACGCGAAGUUUAAACGAGUUUCUGAGACGGAGAAGUUGAACGCAACUUUCAGUGUUAACGUGUUGUUGCCGCUUGUUGCCGAUAACAAUCUGAUAACAUGUGGUUUGAUUGAUAACGGGUGUGGUUACUGUGAGCUGCUGGACUUGAAGAACAUUUCCAACGUGCUGUACCGGGAACUCAUCCAGGUGGGGUCUCUGCGGCGCAGCAGCGCGUCCGUGAGUUUCCUGGUGAAUGUGGAGACUCAAACCCGGACAGAGACUUACAUUCUGGCUGCUAUUCAGCAAUACAAAGACGAACCGACAAAGGACAUCUGUCCCUCUGUGUCAGAGGCAGUGAGCCUUCACAACACCAAUAACGACCAGACAGGACAAAUAUUUUCUCUUUAUAUCCAGGACACAAAUUCUGCAAUCAAACUCAAGGACGAUGUGGACGUUGUGACCAAACUCCCCAUCCAGGUCGAUGUGGAGUUUGUGGAUGGAUUUCAGAUUAACUCCAUCAUUUAUCUUUUUUCUAAUCUGCCCUCAAAAUAUGAAAGCAACAAAGUCCGUCUGCUUUGGCUUGUUGGCAAAGGAGGUAAAGGUAAGAGUCUUGCGUCGUUGCGGGGUGCGACCCUCAGUGUCUCUGAUGGAGGUGAAGACCGCAGACUGAUCGCCUCCUCGGUCAUCCCUGACGGUCCGCCGGUGCUCUGGGGCGGUGUGUUCAGUGUGGGCGAAGGACAAACUAAGACCGAGCUGGUGGUGUUUGACAUCAGUCCUGAUCUUAGAGGAAGGACCGAUGUGGACCCGGACUUCUGCUCUGACUGUGGUGACAGGAACAGACCAACGGUGGGUGGUCGUCAAAUUAUGUUGCUUUAAUGAGCACUUGUGUCCACAUCCAUCUUUACCUCCAACAUAUCAUUAAUUAAAAGGUUAAUUCAAUUUUUAAAACAUUUUUCUAAAAGAAUGCAAGAUUAUAUUACUUGGAUAAAGAGAAUUUUAAAAUUGUUUAAAAUGAGUAGAAAAUUAAAAGUGUUAAAACAAUCUCAAAGUGCAGUCUUGUCUCUCCUCUGAUAGCUUUUUAGGAAGUUACAAAGUUGUACUUACUGAAGCUGAACUUACUAAACCAUCAAAUCAGUUUAUGAAGGUUUAUAAAAGAUGAUGGGUCAGUUUUGAAGCCUGAUAGACAUUUGACCAUCAACACUUUACCCUCUAAUACUUACAAAAUUAAUUAUGUCUAAUUAUGAAUUUAUUGUGUUUCUCAGCCAAAGACACUGAAGCAGAAGGCGGUGGUCUUCAAGCAGAACUACAUGACCUCUGUGCUGGCAGUGAGACAAAAGGCCUGGAUAGUUUUCUUCAUCGGGACAGGAGAUGGACAGCUUAUUAAGGUGAGUCUACAAAGGGACAUAAAGGGAUGGAAUAGCUGCUCUAAAAGCAGAGCCUUGAAGCUCAAGAUUACAACGCACAGGAGAAAAUUAAAAAAUGGCUAAGGUACCCGAGAGAGAAGAGUAGUUUGGUUAACUAAAGCUUAUCGUAGUUUCAACAAAUUUUGACAAAAGUAACACUAUAAGAUUGUAUGUCCUGACAAAACACAAUACCGAUCUGAUUGAUCUCAUGCUACAGAAAUGCUACUUGAUUAAGUAUAAUGUAAAUAAGGGCAACUUUUCACAGCUAGUAUAUAAAAAACACACUAUUCUGUGGAAGUCCAACAAAUGUCAACCUUGGUUUUGUUUACUAGGAAUGUCUGGGUGGUGACCCCUUUAACAGUGUCCCUCUGUUACCCAUGAAUAAAUCACUAUUUUGGAAAUAAAUAUGACAAACUGACACCUCACAAAUACAAGUUUGGUCUUACAAAGUUGGGUGCAAUAGCAGAAGAUAACUACAGGAAAUGGCAUAAAGUUUCUAAAUACUGUCAUUUCCAUUUAAAGGCAUAACAUGUAAUAUUUAGUGGCAUUAAGUAGAAUAGAGAAUAAUGAUAGAAUAAUAUUUUAAAAGUAAAUGUAAUUUGAUGAAACAGUAUACUAUUGAGAGAACAUAGUUAUGGCAUAGAAAACUGAAAAUUAUAGUUUUGCCUUCAAGUAGAGUAAUGAGAUCUGCAUUUGUAUUUAUCACAAUACUCUAUAACAUCCAAAGUUUUGUUUUUUGUCCAAGUUUUCCCUGAAAAGGAGCAUUUACGUAAACCUCAACUCUCUUUAUUGCUCCUAUAAACCUGUUUCUUCAAAUAUGAAGUGAUAUGAAAUGUUUGUUCAGAUUGGGCAGACUGUGCAUACAGUAAGAAAUAUAGUUAUUGACCCUUGCACAGACCAGCUUCUUACUCAUCUUGAUAUUUUAGAAAAGAUUCUGGCACAGGUCACUGGAAAUAAGCCCUAAAUACUAAUGAUGUGAAGGGACAGUAAAGAAAUGUUACUUUAAAAUAUUAAAUAAUCAGCAGAUCAGAACAGGCAAAUAAAUUGUAUCCCAGCAACAAGUCAGGAUAAUAAUAAUAAUAAUAAUAAUAGAUUUUAUUUGUAAUGCACUUUACAUUUAAAAACAAAUCUCAAAGUGCACAACAAGACAACAACAGUAAAAACCAAGCAACAGGGCAAAACAAUAAAAAACAGUCAGAUGCAGAUUUGUCAUUCACUGUUUGGUGAGCUAUUGUGUAUUGUAAUGUAUUAGACACGUGUAACUGCAGCUGACACUUUGUUUUGAGUUGUCAGUCCCUCAACUCCAUUGCUACAUCUUGAGCUGUCGACCACUUCAAAACAAGGGAAAUGCAAAAGAAACUUGCUGGACUAUAAACUAGGGGUGUCCCAAUAUGAUAUCAAUAUAAAAUAUCGGUCCUAUAUCAACAAAAAAUCAAAUAUCGGAUUAUAUCUGCCUGCAUCUAAAAUCUCCGAUAUCAGCACUCCGAUACAAGCAGUCCAUUCCAGACUCCACUCCAGCACCUCUAUCUAGCAGCACCUGGAUCCAGCAUGUAGAGCCCAUGUGAUCACAACAACAGUGUGUACGAAGGUACUAGCAAAGUAGCAAGGAGUAGGAGUGAUGUCGGCCCUGUGGCUGUAUUUUUCAUUUAAGUCCAAAAAAGAUGUUGCAGCUAAGUGCAAGACUUAUCAUGCCCAAGUUUGUACUAAUAUCUGAUCAAUAUCGGUAUUGGACAAUAUCAAAGGCUACAAUAUCGGUACCGUAUCAGGGAAAAGAAAAAUUGUAUUGGGAUACCCCUACUGUAAACCAAUGAAAGUUGUCUUAUUUUCCUCUCAUGGGCUUUAUCAAAAAGUAGCCACAGUGGGUUCUGAGGUUGCUUUCCAGGUUCUAAUCCAUAAAAGGUUUUCAUGGCUUUUGAAAUUCCCAAACCCGUUUUUUCCCCCUACCACAGGUGAAUGCAGGGUUAGACUGAGCUCUCAGUGGUGUCAGAAAACACCACAGCAUCCCCAUUAGGGCUGAAAGUCACGCAUAGAAUGAGUGUUUCUCCUUCAUGGUGCGGGUCAUCAGCUAGCGGCCAAGCAUUUGAGAAAUGCUAUAACCACAGAAAUACAUGAAAAUGCAACUGUACCACUUAACAAAUUACCACGAGCUUUGACUGAGGCUGCGGAUUACGUUCUGGGAAUACCCACCAGCAGCAGAGCAGCACCAUCCCAGAGAAACAUAACAAAACCGCCUUUUUGUUUUCAGCUUGCUGUGGACAAGAACUACCAGACCAACUGCCCCAAAGUGCUCUUCAAAACCAGUGACGACCGCAAAGUGUUUUCAAAACUACAUCUGGAUCAGGUGGAUCUGAAACAUGUUUAUGUCCCAUUUCAAAACCAGGUAGGUGUAGUGUACAAGUACCACAUACAAGGUCAAGGUGAUCACUCAGUAAAUUUAAAUACUUCAAAUUUUUACUGGUGUUAUUUAUACUGCAUAUAAGUACACUCACCGGCCACUUUAUUAGGUACACCAUGCUAGUAACGGGUUGGACCCCCUUUUGCCUUCAGAACUGCCUCAAUUCUUCGUGGCAUAGAUUCAACAAAGUGCUGGAAGCAUUCCUCAGAGAGCUUGGUCCAUAUUGACAUGAUGGCAUCACACAGUUGCCGCAGAUUUGUCGGCUGCACAUCCAUGAUGCGAAUCUCUCGUUCCACCACAUCCCAAAGCCCAUCUGCCUCAAAGUUCGACGUACUGUGCGUUCAGAGAUGCUCUUCUGCCUACCUUGGUUGUAACGGGUGGUUAUUUGAGUCACUGUUGCCUUUCUAUCAGCUCGAACCAGUCUGGCCAUUCUCCUCUGACCUCUGGCAUCAACAAGGCAUUUCCGCCCACAGAACUGCCGCUCACUGGAUAUUUUUUCUUUUUCGGACCAUUCUCUGUAAACCCUAGAGAUGGUUGUGCGUGAAAAUCCCAGUAGAUCAGCAGUUUCUGAAAUACUCAGACCAGCCCUUCUGGCACCAACAACCAUGCCACGUUCAAAGUCACUCAAAUCACCUUUCUUCCCCAUACUGAUUCUCGGUUUGAACUGCAGGAGAUUGUCUUGACCAUGUCUACAUGCCUAAAUGCACUAAGUUGCCGCCAUGUGAUUGGCUGAUUAGAAAUUAAGUGUUAACGAGCAGUUGGACAGGUGUACCUAAUAAAGUGGCCGGUGAGUGUAUAUCUUUGCUGUAUUUUAAAUGCUGUUAAGUUGAAAUUUUGAAAUGUUUAUUUUUAGAUCAAUCGUGUUCCUGUGUCAAAGUGCAGCACAUACAAAACUGUGCAGGAUUGUUGGUCUGCACAGGAUCCAUACUGUGUCUGGUGUGGCCCUGAAAAAAGGUUAGAAACAUCAUCUGCAGUGAACAUCAGUAAAGGAAUUUAAAACUUGUAUAGGACUUACCUUUUUUCUUCUCCUAGCUGUACAUUUGAAGAAAACUGCCAAGGCUCAGACUGGUUGUCCAUUCCUGAUGAUUCUCAGCACAAAAUGGUUUCCUAUCAAGUUACACAGGACCAGACUGGACAGGUAGAGAUUAGGGUUAAGUUCUGAGCUAUGAUGAGUUGUGGCUCUCUGAUAGUAUAUUGUUUAUUUACUCCUAUCUGGAUUUGUUUCAGAUCACACUUAACAUCCAGGUGCAUGUGACAGCGGGCGAAGAGGUGCUCUCUAACUUUGCCUGUCACUUCUCUACAAGUUCCACUGAGCGCUUUAAAAUGGAAAACCCGCGUCCACAGUUUCCACAUUGUUCUUCCACCCUUGAAGCAAGCACACUUCCUGCUGGAGGUCAGUCAUUUUUGAUGGAUAAUAAUAUUAUGAUAAGAAUCUAAAAAUUAUAUAAUUGUUAUAUUUAGUGUAUUUUUUUAAUACAACAGGACUGCGUGCAACUGUAAAGAUCAAACUUGGUUCAUCAUGGCUGACUGAAUGGCUGAACCUGCUCAACUGUACGGACAUCAGCGGACCACCAACACCUGCCCUGUAAGUCCUCCACUGUUUUCUACUAAUCUAAGCCACACCUUUCACUGCAAUUUUCUUAGAAGUAGCAUCAGUGUUAAAACAAAAUGACUCACCUUUUUGUCUACAGGUGCCGAAAAUGUUUUGAGGCUGGCUGUGGCUGGACCGGAAGGGGUUGUUCUUGGGCAAAUCGAGGCGUGGGGAAUGUAAUUAUGCAUUUCUUGCUUUAAUUUUCCGACUUGAUGUCCAAAAUGCUUUUUGUUGUUAUUGUGCAGCUAUUCCACAUUCUCUUUGAGCAAUGUUCCAAAAGUUAAGACUAUGAAUCUCUGUUAAAAAAUGAAGUUUGUCAAAUGUUUUUUUACACUGACUUAUGCUGAAAUAGUUCAGCAUAUAAAACCCUUUUCUUUGGAUCUCAUGGAAACACAGUUAUCUUCUGAAUUAUCUUCUUACAGGUCAGUGUUUGCCAAAUGAUAGGGUCACAGAUGAACCUUUCUGUAAGUCUGAACCUGAAGUGUCACAUACUUUCCAUCACCAUGAGAAUAACGAUCGCACAUGGAAAUGAUACUCUUGUGUUUGUUUUACUGUCAGAAACCCGUGAUCUCCACCAUCACUCCCAAAGUUGUGUCUUUCCACGGCAGAAACAACGCAGUGUUGUCUGGUAGUAACCUCAGUUCUGUGACUAGAUUGAGGAUCCAGGCAGAUCUUGACUGCACACCACAAGAGUGAGUUACCUCAUGGGUAACUGAGACAAUGAACUGAAACUAAGUGGCUGUUAAGUCAAGACUUUGCUGGCAUUGCUGCUCAGUAAAGCUGAGAAACUUCCUCAUGUAAAAGUGAUCAUGCUCCACAGACACAUUCACGUGUAUAUGGUUCACCCAAACAGAUUGUAAACUUGUAGAGCAAAUCAAAAACGUUACUGUCAAAGAAGCAGAAGCUGAAAUAGGGCUGGGCAAUAUGGCCUCAAAUCAGUAUCACGAUAUAUUAAGCAGUUCACCCAGAUAAUGAUAAAUGGACGAUAACAACUCCACGAGCUGCUCACCCCCUUCCACAUUAACUGCCUCUACUUCAGCCACCGCUCUAGCUGCUACAACUUUUGAACUGUUCUCUUUGUCCUUCUUUUUUUACGGACUGGAUGGGGUGGAGUCACGUCUCUGACGUAGAACAGCGUUUUAAAGGGACAUGAGACCAUAGCCUACCUACACACGUCCAAAAACAACUUUUAUUUAUUUAUUUUUUUGACACAGAAUAUAUCCAUAUAGGUAAAAUGACGUCGGUUACUGUCAUAAAUUUCAGUAUUGGUAAAUUUUCGGUUCAUCGCCCAGCCCUAACCUGAAAUUUCAGCGGCAAAAAUUGAGUUGUAAAGUUAGCGGCGGUGUAAAUUUUUCUUUGCAGUUUCUCAAAUGGUUCUUUAGGCUACAUGGACAUCAACUUGCAACCAGAAGAGAGCGUGUAUCUACUUAUGAAUUUGCGAAAUUGUAAGCAAAUUUUAAAUAGUUUAAAACUAUCUGAAUGAUGUGCUUUAAAGUCGUUAAAGUAUUGCCAGGGUUUGAGAUGCACACAUAUUAUUCCUGCUGUGUUGAUUGCAUUCCACCUAUUGUCUUUUGACUUGUCCUUAGUUAUUUUGUAAUGACUAUGAACAGGUAUCUGGAUACCAAAACAGAAUAAAACUGUUUCUCUCUGUUUUUUACCUCAUGUGGUCAGGAUUCCUGUUCGGAGCAACACGGGUAAAAAUCUGACGUUCCACAUUCCCAGUGCAGAAAACAAAGGUGUGGUCAAAGUCUGCGCCCUCCUCCCAGAUGGUAGUUGUCACGGCAGUGCCACUAUAACCUACCGUUCAGCACCAUCCUGCACCAAUGUUUCACCCAACAGCACCUGGAACAGGUAAAAGUGUGUGAGAGAAAUGCAAAAGAGAUCAACUGCACACAUACAGACUUCUCCUGAUACAAGUUAUGACUGAUGUACACAUUUAAUCUGUUUAGAAACCUGUGUUAAUGACAGUUUUCUUAACUUAAGACCAAGUGCUUGAUUUUGAAUACAUAACAUUACAGCAGUGUGGCUAAAGGGGAAGCUCUAAUUUUGACACCUUUGCCACAUUGGUAAACAGUUUGAAAAACUUCAGGAGCUUUACCUCUUUGCACUCAAACACUCAGUUGAGAGGUUCAAAUAUAUUGUCUUAAACUGUCCUUUUUUGACCUGAUGACCAGGGCUGCGUCAGGAACUUUAGUGGCGACUGAUUCAAGGGAAACAGGGUUAGUAACUUAGGAACGAUGACAGGUUGAGGGUCAUCUUAUGGGGAAAGAGCCACUUCCCAGAAGUGACUGAUGACACCAUUAGACUACUUCCUGUUAAGCUGCAGCAGCUAAAAGUUCCACUUCUGUCUUUAUUUUUGUACUUUAACAAGAAGCAGUGUUUAAAAAUCGGCAGCUUAGGCUAAUGAGGUUUUUAGGACAAUCUUGAACAAAGAAAAGAAAACACUCCAACAGCCACCGGCAUUCAUUAAUUAGCAUGAUUUGGUGCUUUUUGGGGAGCAGGGUUGUAAGGGUAUCUGCUGUAUGUCAUGGGGCACCAGCUCACAGAAGACCUGCAUCAAAGCAGCAAAGGCCAUUUUGUCUCAUUUUAAUCAACCAAACUGGUUCUAGCCUAUCAAAAGUCAUAGUGAGCCAUUUAUUUAAUGUGGACAAUCUGGGCAGUCCCUGUGCAGCCUGGGGGUUUUGAAAUCCUUGAUUACCACAGAGUAGGGUUCAUUUAAACAUCAUAAGGAACCAUCAAUCAUAGGGGGUCUGGUCGGGGGUGGAGGGCUGAUCACAUGCUGCACAUGCAAGACGGGAAAAAGUAAAGAAUUACCGUUAAGGUUUCUCUAGAGAAAAAUAGGACAACAGAUGAGUCCUCAGAGGAUCUCAUCUCUUAAAUACCUUUAGUGCCAAAUUAAAUAUUCCUCAGCUAAAAUGUUUGUAGAUUAUUUCUCACUCUAAUUAUUUUUAUAACAUUAAACUCUGCCUGACAUUUAUGACAAAAUUGCAUGUUCAAAAAUGCAAACCCUCCACUGUACAUGCUUAUUUGAUUGUUGCUCUGUGUCCUGUAGUGGGAAAAGGACGAUCACAGUCCAUGGAUCCCACCUGGAGUUUGUGGAAGCUGUCAAACACAGUGGAGUCCUGCAGGAGGUCAGACUUCCAGAGAACAAUAUCUAUAAGGUAGGUCUUUGGACACAAACAACAUCCCAUUUUAUUUUACUACUUUAUUUAUAUCUUGUCACCUUAUAGGCUACCAUGGUGCAUUAUACUGCAGUACACCAACCAAUGAGCAGAACCAGGGUUGUUCAAAGGAUUACUUCUCCUACAUAUCAUAUGUAUCAGUGUUUUUUAGACUGUUUUGAUUCACAGUUACACUUAAUGCAACUUCUAUUUUUACAAGCAGAGGCAAAUGUUAAUAACUUUGUUUGGACUGCACAGAAAGAACAGACACUUUGAUGAAUACAUUCACAGAUUCAGCUACUUUAACCGCAUUAAAAAGGGGGAAAAAAUGCACAUUUCAUGCACUUGUUUUUUUUAUGUUUAUACUAUCAUACAUGAUCGCAACUUAAUGCAUCAGAUUGAUAAGCAGCUGAUAAAUUCUAACUGUGUCUUUGCCUUGCCUGUCUGCUCUCUGACAUCUCUUUGUUUUAUCUCUUGUUUUAUCUGGGGAGUAGGUAGGAGGUUAAGUGUACGGUCUAGUACUGCAGGGGCUCGAGUCCAAAGAGGCUUCUGCCUUCCUGUCUACUCUUUAACAUCUCUUUAGAUAUGUGUCACUCUGUCCCUUAUUUUUCUUCUCUAUUAUGGUGCAUGGUUACAGCGAAAGGUGAGAGAUUGUAUCGAGAGGAGUGGCUCUGGGACACCCAAGCUAGCUGUUAAGCCUCCCUCAGGUGUCAUAGGCCUCACUUCAGAGCUUACCUGAUAACCUCUGUGAGGUUUUGGCUCAUGCAGCCCAUGUCUAUUAUUAAAUCUAUUACAAUUAUCCAUGUUCACCAAGAGAGGGAUCAGCUGUAUCUACACACAUUCAUCUGUCCAUUCAAUAUAGAGGUGUAUCACAUAAAAUCAUCUGUUAUGUCUUCUUUGCCAUUUUAUUUAUUUUAUGUUUCAGUGGAAGAUAUUGUUAUUUAACAUUAAUUAUUUAUGCUUUUAUUGUAUAAUGCUCUACAGUCAUAAUAUCACUUAAUUAGGAAGCUUCAAUCCAAAUGUAACACUGUAGAUUUCUCCUCAUGUUUUUGACAGGAUCUCAAGAAUCUCACCUACGACUCACCUGCAGCUGAAAAUGCUCAAGGGACUUUUUCCAGCACUUUGACCCUGAAAGUAGCCAAUGAGAGCUUGAGCUGUCCCACAAAAAUAACCUACUACCCAGACCCUGAGUUUACAAGCUUCACGUCCACAAAGACAGGGGACAGUGUCCACAUCACUAUACAGGUAAUGCAAGAUUUUCCAGCACACAUGCACAAUGAGGAGAUGAAACUUGAAUAUCAGUGAUUUUUUUCUGUUCUCCUUUCAGAAAAAGGCAGACAAACUCAAUAUGAGCCCUGAAGAGUUAUCAGUGUGGGGUAUUCAUGAAGGACAAAAAUACCCCUGCGUAAUGGAAGAGAAAGGAACCAGUGGCAACACCGAGUAUUUCAUCUGUGAGAUUAAAAUUCCAAGCAUCAAAGAUUUUCAAGAAUUGGAGGUAAGUUUUUAGUCGUGCCACUCCAAAUUAAGUGAUGCUUUUGAUAGAUAAAAUAUACAUGUGUCUCUAAAGCUUUUACAGAAACGCAGACUUCCUUUUUGAAAUCCUUUCUGAUACAGUUUGAUUGUUUCUUUGUCCCAGAUAAAGUAUGGAGACAAAACAGAAACCCUUGAAUCUGCAUCAUGGUCUCCUCUCUUCCUGAUACUGCUUGUCUUACUACUGAUCCCAUUAAUUAUUGUUGGUAAGUACCCUUUUAUCGUUAGAAGGCCGAUUUUGGUCUAAAAGCAGCUUUAGAAACACUGACAAAUCUGGAAAAAAAAACCAAAAACGAUUUGCUUGGUAUUUUAUCUCCCAGUUGUGGUGAUCGUUUACCGAAGCAAACAAAAGAAACUCAAUGCAAAGAUGAACAAGAUCAUGGAAAACCUGGAGCUCGACAUCAGGAAUGACAUCAGACAAGGUCAGUCACAAAAACAUUGAUGAUACGCUGAUGAAACAGCAAAGAUCCUUCCUGUCUGAACAGUCCCGUGCAAAACAAAAAGCUUGGGUUAUAGAAAGGUCAAUGACUCUUGUUUCAAUGUUCAUGAUAUUUCCUCUUGCUGUCCCUCUCCUUCUCUGUUGGCCAUGUGUGCACACAGCGCUGUAGGAUCAUGAGGCCUGACCCAAUCUAGCAUAAAAAUCGUAUCAAAAUAAGAGCAUGAAAAAUAAGCAGACCAAAGUUUUACAGUUUUACAGCUUCAUAGUUAGAUUCAUGAGCUAUUUGUUGACAUUGAGGAGGCUUUUGAGUAGAGUGAUCAUAUUCUGAAUCCCCAAAAAGAGGACAUGACUACCCAGGGGUGGAGUCACAGUGUCGCACGAAGUUAAUUUUGAGAGUUUUCCAGGUUGGAACGAGUAUCUUUUACCUGCUUCUAACUCAGUAAAUCCACGAGACACAAACUCGGAACUUCCAUACAAAAUUUUGUAAACUUCCCCGGACAAGGCCGGACAGCCCGCAAAAAAGAGGACAUGUCCGGGUAAAAGAGGACGUAUAGUCACCCUAUUUUUGAGGCGAAAAACACAAGUUUCUAUUCAUGACAUUUCCAUCAACAUCUGCUGUAUAUAGUUUUUCAGCUACUUAUCAGAUGUUAGCAUGCUGUCAUGCUAAGAUGAUUAACGGCAAUGCAGAACUUCACAGAGCUGACAGCAUGGAAAGGGUUAGGUCAUGGAAAGUGUAAACGGCUCAACUUGACAAGUAGCCAACUUCAACAGUCAGCACAGACCAACACAUGCACACAUGCAGUUCCUUUUAAAGAUGUGAAAUACCCCGAGCUUGUUCCUUUUUCUGGUAUCAGACUUGUCAUACAUGUGGUCUAUGCUAAGUAGAAAAAUUAAGUAUGUAUCUGCAAAUACAAAACCUCAUUUCAGAUAAACACCAUGAGGUUUGCUGUUUGUUUUAAAUAAGAUGCAGUCUCCCAUUUUCACUACCUCUUUCUGUUUUUGACCAAAGUUGAAGAUCAUCUUAUAGUUUGAUUCUUAACUGGCUUUAAAAAGGCAAUGUUUCAAAGCCGUAAAUAUCUUUAUCUUUUAAUGAUUAUGAUGCCAGAUGGGUUUUGUGUCACUUAAACACAUACAGAUGAAUAUUCAUUAUAACCAACCCUAACUGUCCUCUGUAGGUUUUGUGGAUCUGCAGACAGAGAAAGCUGACCUGAUGGAGAAUGUUGGAGCCAUUCCUUUCCUGGAUUAUAAGCACUUUGCCUCCAGGAUCUUUUUCCCUGAGGUACGGACAAACCUCCAAGAAAGUAAAUGCUCAUUAUGAUAUUUAAAAAAAAAACACAACAUAAACACAAUCUGUUUUGUUUCUAUUUUUCAGGGUGACACUUUGAUGAAUUUGUGCGUCAAAGACAUCGGUCAGGUAAGGUCUGACUCCAGCUGUUAUCAACAUUCGUGUUGUUUUGUAACCCUUACGGUGACGUGUUGUUGUAUCUGACCUGAAAUCAGGAUGCUGUGAAGGUUCCGCUUGAUGAGCCCUGCAAGGGUUUGUCCAGGCUGAUCCAGAACCAGGUCUUCCUCACGUCAAUGGUGCACGCUCUGGAGGAACAGAAGAGUUUCACCAUCAAGGACAAGUCAGUUUCUGAAGUUUGAUUGUUGUGUCUGAGUGUCAGUGACAAAUCUGUUGUUUCAUCCUGAACCAUUUUGAGGUUUUCUGUACUUCCCUGUCGUUGUUUACAUCCGUUAUUCUAUGAUCCUUUUUGCUCCUAUGUUCUCUGGUCAUAAUUCUGUUUCUUUUCUACUUUUACCUCCUUUUUUUUUCUUUUUUAAUCUCCUCUCUUCCAGGUGUGUUAUGGCAUCACUGCUCACUGUAGCGCUCCACAACAAUUUGCUGUACCUGACAGAAGUGAUGGAGGUACUGCUGAGGGAUCUGAUGCAGCAGCACGGUAACGCCCAGCCCAAACUGCUUUUACGACGCACCGAGUCCACUGUGGAGAAACUCCUGACCAACUGGAUGUCCAUCUGUCUGUACGGCUUCCUCCGGGUUAGAUGAGUUUAUAUCCCUCUUGAUUUCUAAAGAACCACAAAGGAAAACGUCAGCUACCUGAUUUAGCCGCACUAGAAACUUUCAAUGUUGGUCAACGGCCUUUUCAGACGCCAACCAGUUAGAAGCAAGACACUAAGAAUGACUAUUUUCCUACUAAUAGCUUUUAUGGCACAUACAGUAUGAAGGUCAUCAGUGUUAUACAUCAGGUGUAGAGAUUAUGUGUGAGUGCUGAGAGUUAGUACAAAGGAGGGUGAAGAAAGGUGUCCUUAUGAUAACCCCAGUGAUGCGCUGAUUCUCUCUGCCUAUCAAAUCAGGAUCGGUUGGGGGCGUUAGGGGUUGUUGUUAAAAAGCUAUAUAAGCCAGAACACUUAAGACAACAGUGACAUACCUCUAUUUGACUUUUCUGGUUUUCUGUUUUAUCUGGAUGUUGAAGAAAGUUGGUAACAAACAGCAGAGCAGUCUAUACGACGUCAGUGGACUGGAGAUCCAGAGCUUUAUUGUCACCUCUCCUGUUUGUCCGCUUUUCCUUUCGGUGCAUCGAGUCGUCAUCGUCCUCUGUAAACUCAGAUUCACAAAGAUGUCAGAAUCAUUAAUGGUUUGAUUUGGUCGUAUCUUUGUCUUUAGGAAGCCUGCAUGCGAAAGAGCAAGUCUGUGCUGAAUAAAUUGUCUUUCUGAUGGCAAAGUUAAGGGCUGAAAAUUUUCUGGGUGGAGUGUACGAUUAAACUGAAGUAACAGCUCAGAUAAGGGUCUCCCAAAGUUAGUGGCAGUCGUAUACCUAACACCCUGAUAUAAUUGUGGCUUGUACAAUAACAAGUGACAUGUAACUCAGACAGUCCACUUUAGUUUCUCUUUCUGUAUUUUUGUCUAGCCUUUUGGUAAACCACAUGCUGUUUAUUUUUAAUGUCAUGGCUAAUGAGGGAUCGUCUAAAGGAAACAUUGCCAUGGUAACAAACUCCCCACAGCCAUCACACAUUCCGAGAACUUUCUCUUGUCACCUCUAUUAAGUCCUCAGUCGAGUUUCCGUUUAGCUCUCUGCUGUAUUGUGUCACAUGGACACAGACUGAAACCUUUUCUUUGUUUUUACUAAAACCUUUGUUCCAUGUGUUUAAAAAAACAAUUCAGGGCAGUUGUCUUGAAUGAAGCAAAAACAGAACGUUAAGUUCAUAAAACAACUUCCUCGGUGCCACAGAGGGAACAACCCCCUUUUUUGUCUGACUCUGUUCCUGUUUCUGAUUUUGCACAGGAAACUGUUGGCCAGCACCUGUUCCUGAUGGUUAGCGCUCUGACACAGCAGACUGCCAAAGGACCUGUGGACAGUGUGACAGAGAAGGCUCUUUACACGCUCAGCGAGGACUGGCUGCUGUGGCAGGCUCCGGACUUCACUUCCCUGGUACACACACACACACAAACAAAAACACCCAUACUUUACAUCGCAGGCCCUCGCACACAGAAGCAGACUGCAUAUUCAGGGAAAGCUAGAGUCCAAACAGGAGAAAACAUCUAUAUAAACAGGGGAAACUACAUGAAACAACUCAAAGUAUUCAACAUUUCAAAGUAAAAACCUGUCAGCUGUAGAGGUUAUACUAUUAAAAUGAGCUGUGUAUGAGGCAGAUGGGCACUCACUCAAUCAAAGGAUAUAAGCAAGCCAAGAAAUCACAAUAUUACUGAUACGUUGCCCGUGAUCUGAACACAAACUGCAGUCUAAACUGUGACCAAUGCGCUGCACAAAGAAAAGCUAAGCAGCUUGAAGUCAUUUAUUGCUGACCACACCAGAAAGAAAGAGGCAGCUGUGGCUCGGUCCGCAUGCCAAAGUGUCCUUGGGCGAAGCACUUAAGCCCACCUGCCCCCGCUGGCUGUGUCGGGUGGUGUGUGAAUGGUAUUAGUUAAAACACUGAUGGACUCUAUGCAUAGCAGCCUCUGUCAUCAGUGUGUGAAUGGGUGAUUGUGACAUGUGGCGCGAAAGCGCUUUGAGUGGUCAAAAGAGAAGGCGGGGAGUUCAAUUAACAUUUACCAGAAGUAGAGACGUUGUCCUCAUUCCCAGAGACACACACUGUUUUUCUUAAAGGAUAGCUGAUGGGUCCUGAGAUGGGUGUAGUCAUGUAGAUACUAACAAAUAUCUUAAGAUCACAAAUUGAGGAAACCGUCAAUAGAUCCUAGCUCUGUUUUCGAAAAGAGAAAAGUAUACUAAGAUUCCAUUUUAUUUACUUAUUACCUUAAUCUGUAAAUGUCUAAUAUCUCUGUGAAGCACUGAGAUAUUAAUGAUGGAAGUUGUGAGGCAGUUCUUCUAUAUGUGAGCGAUCCAGCGCGGCUAUGAAUUGAUUGGACAACAUCCUCAUUGUGUGUAAGUUGGUUGUCAGCCACAGAGCAUACAGAGACAGCUUGUCAAGGGAACAGCGGUUGGUAUUGAACCACUUCCUCUUCCAUGUAUUUUAAGACCUUUUUAACAUGCAACAGCUCAGCUUUGACGGGCUUGACACAGCUAUGUUUACCACAGAUUACCAAACUGAUUUCCUGGCAAUAGCUCAGAAAAGGUUUCUAAAGCACACUGACAAAACAGGCCGGAUUGUCAAAGACUGCAAGAUAAAGACAGAUCUUGAUGAGGUGAAAUCAAAAAAGGUUUUUUUGACUUUUUUUAUCAACUAGCGGAAGGCUUGUAACAGAAGUAAAAAAUGAAAAAAACACCAUCCUGCUGGCAGGAAGUGGCUGAAUGUCACGCUCAAGACUCAAAAUGAGAGAGGAAGAUUUUUGUUGUGGCAACAAGAUGUGGCUUCAGGUGCAAGAAGGGUACAAGUUGGACCAUAACUGAGCCUUUACAGAUGGGCAUUUUGCUCAACCACAACAGCUCAUUGGCCUUAAGAGGAAAGUAAUUCUCAGUUUCUCACAGGAGAAACUAUGAAAUGCAAUCAGAUUUAUGUACCGAUUCUGAUGAGGAGAAACACCUUCAUCUUAAACAACACUACAACCUGUUUGAGGAACCAGCUACUCGCAGUCAGAGUCUUAAAAAAGCUCUUUACUCAAGGAAGUAAAGCAACACGGCAUUUUCCUGUUAAAAAAACAAAUUAAAGAAAACCACAGAAUGCAGAAACAGGCGGUCUCUAACCACACCUCAAUGCUCAGAGCUGAGUAGAAAUGAAAGAAAAUGAAAGCAUGCAAAUGUUUCCGAAUCAAGUCAGUUUAUGAGGUGCAUGUUAGAGUAUUUCACAAUGACUAAAGUGCUGUACAAUCAAAGUAGGAAAUAAAGUUAAAUAAAAUAUUACUAAGUUACAAAAGCACUAACAUACACUAAAAAAAAUAAAAGCUCAAAAGAAAAAAUAAAUCAGUAGUUGCAACCAUAAACAGAAAAAUAAAAAAGAAUUGAUAGAAAUUUUCCUACAAAGAGUUCUUGAUGUGUAUGAACUUGACUGAAAUUCAUACUGACGCCUUUUAAUGACUAGAAAAGUAAACAAGACUGAAGAUUUUUAUGUUGUAAUUUUUAAGUACCUGAAACCGGUACAAGCAGCUGCAGAAACAGCCCUAUUACUAUAUUUUUUGUAUCAAAUAUUCACAAUAGCUGAUCAAUUUGACCGCCAAAAGUCAGAAAGCACUACCCAAGUAUAUAUUGGUUAACAUGAGCAGUAACGGCUUUGUCCACAGGGGGCGCCAAAGUUGACACAAACUAAAGGAUCCCUACCAGGGCUUUAAUAAUUAAAAUAGGGUGAGCAAAUUUAAUCAGGUUUUUUUAUGAGAAUAGUGAGAAUAAUGUGUUGGUUACAAGUAAACAUUGCAAACCAAUUUUCCGUUUAACUGAACUUGUCACAUGAGCUAUUUGGCUGAUAUGACGUGUAAUGGUUCAUUUUUACCAGGAAAACACACAAAAAAAUUGCUUAAUUUUGAGUUUUUACUGUUUAAAUGUCUACGAACUGUUAACUGUUACAGGAAAUAUGAGCAAGUGGAGAGACAGUUGGUAUGAACAAGGACAGCAGUUAGUUCAGAACAGACCUGCUGGUGAACGUGACCAAAGCCAUGUAAUGAUCUGGGUCAUCACUGCUAUAGAGAGACUCAACCACAGAAUUAUCUAAUCUAACUGGUAUGCCACACCCCCACUGGAUUACCACAUGGGUUGGUUUGUCCAAUCUGUGGUGUGGCGUGGUGUAAUAACAGAAUUUACCAACUGGCACAGGUCGUCUGUACCGGGUGUCAACAUUUGACAGAUUCAAGGAACAAGAAAUGAACGUUUAUUUCAUAGAAAACCUCAAAGUCAUUGUUCCUGUUGUCAUCAACAACCAGGAAGUUGAGGUUGUGCAGCACUAUAAAUAUCAGGCAAAAUGAUUAAGAAAGUGACUGUCAGGUCUCAGGUGACCAGCUGUUUGUUGAGAACCAGUCAGCACAUCCAUUUAAUCAGGGGGCGGCUGUAAUUUAACAGUGAUAGCCGCCUCGGGAUUUAAAAGUGAAAUCAACAGCAGAGCUAAGUGUGUAGAUGUGUACUUUAGACUUUGAUUGUCCAGAAGACUUUUACCUGUUUUUACAGAGACCCCAAACUUCAGCACAAGUUCAUUUUGUUCUAAGUUUUUUGGGCGUGGCUGUGAAGCUGUGAGCAACAAUUACUAAAGUCAAUCAUAUGGGACUGAUGUCAGAGUUUCACUUCAGUAUUAUUAACCAAAAUAUGGGUUAAAGGAACAGUCAGCGGAACUGAUUCAUAGACCAGAUAAUGCAAAACAGGAGGUGAAGUGUUUGAUACAAUAAACCAGAAGAUCUUGACAAAUAUUUUCUCUUAUAGGAAGUUGGAACUUUUUUUUUUCUGCUUGUGUUUCCGUUUUUGUUUUGGGCAGGGCUCAACAGAAAAAGAUUAUGUUCUUCUUGCAACACAUUUUUGUCAUCUUGGUAUAACUUCUAAUAUUCAAGUAUCUGAUGAUAGGAUUUUGUUGUUGUUGUACUUAUUGUACCAAGCUUUUGAGAAUGCUUUUCUCCCAAAAAGAAGAUUCAACCUUCGUUAGUAUCUGAUGAGAUAAACAGUUGGCAGUAGAUUAGCUACAUACCUUUGUGACAUGGCAUAAAAGUUGUUUAUACACAGCCAGACAUUUAUAAACUCUCUCUUUGUGUCAUACCUGAAAACAAUAUCAUACUAAGUCCUUCAAAUUUGUAAUGAAACAAAUAAAAAGGCACAUUUAAAGCACAAAAACUGGAAAUAUUUUCAAGUCGACAUCACUGAUAAAUCUUCUAAACGCUGUACACUCCUCUGAAGUAUCACUUCCUUGCAUCUUUAGCACUCUGUGUUCCUCCGUCUGUGACAUUUCCUUCUGUGAGCAAAGCAACAGAAGCCUGACGUUUAAUCUAAUAUUACAAACCAGUAUCUCACUUAACCUCUCAAUCAGAUCCAUUAGUUAGUGCAGGCAUAAACCACAAAAGGGCAGAAAGGAGACAAGAUGGAUGCUGAUAAUACAUUAUCCAGAGAUCCAGAGAUAGUUGUUCAAAUUGUGUCCCCUAAUUAUGUAAAAACCCCAAAAAUCCACUAAGUUGUUUCUUGAAAAGACGUGUCUCUGUAAAAUCCCAAACUUUUUUGUUACUCUAUUGGAUACAUAAAUCACAAUAUGAUACAUAAAAUAGGAGAAAUGAUAGGAUACAACAGGAUAAUUGUUUUUUCAUGUUGAGCUCAUCAUCAGCAAUUACAAACAACAUUUGUAGGAAACAUUUUCAAGUGCAUCAUUAGCCAUGACAGCUGGCUUGAAGAUCAUAUAGUUUCUUUGUUUAAUUUUGAGAUAAUUCACUAUUAUCAAUCAACACUAUCAAAAACACUAUUACAGAGUUCCUACGCAAGUAUGGAAAGUGUGGAAAAGUAUGACAGUAAUUUGAUCAAUUUCUAGGUCUCAAAAAGUAUGGUAAAUAAAAAGUAAGGUAAGGAAAAAUAUUCAUGUUAACAGACUGUAUUACCACAGUUAUAAAAAACAGUUUUCUAACAUAGCAAAUUAGGUAUUUCCAAAAAAUAAUUCUAAAAAGUAGGGAAUGGAAAAGUAUGGAAAUUCCAACUGUGUAGGAACCCUGGUUAAAGCAGGCUAUCAGCUUGUGUUCAUAUUAAUCUGUAAUAAAAAUAUUUGUAUUUUUGGCAUAAAGAAGGAGCUUACUUUAAUGUUACUUGCUAGUCAUUAUUUACUAAGAAUUUAAAAGGAUCUAGUAACAAGCCCUGUGGAACACCUGUGUGUUUUUGCAAUAGAUUUCCCAGUUGGUAAACUGCUAUCAAAAAUCAGAUUAGUUGACAAAUACAACACAGCAUGAUUAUUUAACCGAGCUAUACACAAGAUCACAGGGUCUGCGAGUCAAAAAUGUCAUAUUGGUUAGUGAGUGUUGCUAAUGUUGGAAAUGCUAGCAUCACAAGCCUUCAGUUUACCCUGACCAGAUGCUUGUGCUGGUUUGGUGGUUUUGUGUCAGUUUAAUCUGACACUGCCUAAAAUUAUUACUAAACAAUGCACUGUAAAAUCCUGUGUGUCCAUUGUGUUGGGUCCAUAUCUGGGUUUUAAGGUGCUAAAGCAGUAUGGGGGGUAGCUGUUAGCUAUAGUAACAGCUCUGCUUAGUGGAGGGCGACCAAGUUACAGCCAACUACUGAAUGGGACACACUUCGUUAUUCUGUUGACUUAACGCAAACAUCCCCAGAAAUAAGGAAAAACAGUGACGUGUUGGUGUUGUUGAUGUUUGUGUAUGUUGUUCUGCAGAAGCUAAAAGUGCUGUUCGCAGUGGGCAGCGAUGGGGAGGUCAGCGAGCCUCUGGAGGUCAGCGCGCUCAGCUGUGACUCAGUAGAACAAGUCAAAGAGAAAAUCCUGUCCACCUUCAAGGCCAAGUUUGGGUUCCCCUACAACACUCUGCUCAGGGAUGUUUGUAUCGGUGAGGAUCAUCUGCCUGUUGUUGUUGUUGUCCCUCGUGGUUGUGCUGACAGUAUUUUGGUUGUGUUGUCUUCUUCCACUGUGGUCUUCUCUCUUAUGCUGUCUGUGUAUGGCUGUGUUGUCAGUAUACAAGUUUGGUUUCUGUAUCUGCAUUUAGCAUCUGUGGUUGGUUGUGUUUGCAGCAUUUGUGUUGCUCGGUUGUGUCAAGUGUUUCGUCUUGUCAGCCUGCUUGUUCUGUCCUUAUUUGAUUAUGUUGUCCGUGUGGUUGUUUUGUCUGAAUUGAAUAUCAGUGUGUUAUUGUAUUUCAUCAUUUUAUUGGAUUUAGCUACAUCAUCUGUGAUUGGUUUCCUUUUUAUUUUGCGUGUGUGUAUUUGGCACUUUUUUCCUGUGAGUGUUCUGUCUGCAUCGAGUUGGGUUGUCUGGUUUGGUUAUGCUUCCUGUGUUCGGUUGUGUUGUCCAAACUGGUUCUGUGUUGUCUGUAUGACUUGUAUUGGUUGUGCUGUACUAAAUUGGGUUUUCUGUGUUGGUUAUGUUGUCUGUGUAGAAGUUUGUGGUUCCCAGAGUGAGUGGAUACGCCUCCCCUGGGGGUUGUGGAGACACAUCAGGCAGGGGUAACAUAUAAUGGGGAACUAUUGACUUGUAACUAGCGAUGGGGAUCGUUCAUUUUUAUCGAUACUGAUGCUAAAGAUCUCCAUUCUUAUCGAUACUACUAUAGAGGUUUCUUUCAAACUUUUGUAUUUAUGGCGAUUUCUCACAAAAAUGUUCUUUUUCUUUUUCUGGACGUGACAUUUGAACAAAUCAUGUUUACAUUUAAACUUUUGCCGACCCAACCCUGAACACCUCACAAUAUAGUCAUCUGUCACCUCAAUUAGUUAGCUAGUUAGCUUUUGUCCUGCUGAUUUUAACACUGGAUUGGGAUUUCUAACCAACGGCACUUGCUCUAAAAUCUGUCUGCGCUGAUGUGUUCAGUCAUGGAGGUUUUAUUCUCCUUGUAUUUUGCAUAAUAAAUAGCAUUUUGCUUCAUCCCUAUCAUCAGCAAGCCAAACAGUGAGAAACAUUACACCAAGGUCACACCAGUGAGCUGCUAGAGUUUGUUUACACUCACUGCUUCAUACUAAUUUCUCAUAAAGUGGCCAUAUUCAUAAAACCUCCUGGUCUUAAGAGUAACUCCUCGUGGCAAAUUUGGAUAUUUUUUGCAAGUUGAGUCCAAAACUUUUUAAAAAUGAAUAAUUACUCAGAAAGUAGUUUAGCUCUUAGUCAAGCUCCAGGUGUGAAAAGUGUAAGUGGGAGUAAGGAGGACUUCUAAGAGGCUGCAGUGUCUCAAGCUCGCGACGUUGCACCGACAUCUACAAGCCGAGGCACGAUCACCAAAGUGUAGAGGUGUCAAGAGGGUGUGUAUGUGUUUGACAGCAACAGGCUGCACAUAAGGUUCAUAUUUUGGUAACAUUAACUUGACACCUAUCUCUAUAACGCAUUAUUAAUAUAUGUAUAAUGCAUUACAAUCACGUUAUAGCACUGUAUAACUAUAGUUAUAAACACUCAUAAAUGAUCAUAAUGCAUCAUAAUACAUUAUAAAGCAUUAUUUCAUGACUUACAAGGUCAGGUAGUAUAAUGUGUUAUAACUGUUAACAACUCACUGACAAUGCCUACAUGGAUAAUACAUUAUACAUAUAUUAAUGAUGUGCUAUAAUUUGCUUAUAAACUUGUAUAACUAUCAUUAAAAACACUCACUAAUUAUCAUAAGGCUUUAUAACAAUAAGCAUAACACAUCAUAAUACCUGACCUUGUAAAUCAUGAUAAAAUGCUUUAUAAUGUGUUAUGAUUACUGCUAUAAAGCAUUAUGAUCAAUUAUGAGUGUUUAUAACUAUAUUUAUAUAGUGCUAUAAUGUGAUUAUAACGCAUUGUACAAAUUGUUAACCGUAUUUUUUAUCCUCAAAAAGGGGGUACGAUGGGAGGAAAAGUUUGGGAACCACUGCUGUUCUGUUUGUUGUGUUGUUUGUAUUUAGCUCUGUUAUCCGUGCUGUUUGUAUCGUGUUUGUUGUUUGUCCACUUUUUUCUCCUUUCAUCACGCUCUUUACCGCGCCUUACUCUCUUUUUUUCCCACCAGAGUUUGAGAAGGACGGAUCAUUUGUUCCCCUUGAGGAAGUGGAUUCAAGCUCAGAGGUUAUCGGGCAAGUGAUGAUGCUCAACACCCUCAAGCAUUACAAGGUUAGCAAACCGAGCUGAUAGAGAAGGCUGUGUUUGUGGUGAUGAGUUGACAGCUACUUACUCAAAUACUCUCAUGUGAAAACUCGAAAAGCUGUCUGUGGCGUGACAGCCACCUGUCCUCUGAAAUAAUGAUACUGCUGAGGUGAAACCAACAGAGACGCUUGUAUCAAACCAACAACACGUGGACAGGACUCCCUCUUGUUUUCAGUUUUGUUGUUGCUGUCUCCACCCAAGGACAAAAAACUGUUAAAAACUACUUUUUGAAAACAUGACACGAAUUAGCAAACAAGCUGGCACCAACUCCUGCAAGUAAAACUGAUUGCAAGAAUUUUUGUACACUUCUUCAAAUGAGAUAUUAUCAAUAACUGUGAAAUCACCCACCAUCUUAUUUUGACGCACCAUUUCCUGCAGGCAACAGCAGACUUAAAUUUAGAGCAUUUAGGCACGUGUCAUUGACAGCGGAUGCAAAGUUUUAUUAAUCUGCAUGAGAGUGAAAAUGAUUGUUUGGAAAUGUCAUAAAUUGGAGGGUUUAUAGGUGUGUCUUACUUUCAUGAGAGUCAAGAAAAGAGUAAAAGAGAUUCAAGGACAUGAUGUGUGUGAUAAACAAUGAAAUGUCAUUUUUCUUCAUGCGUUGUUUUUUAUUAAUACAUUUUUUUAGGUCCUUGAUGGAGCGACGAUCAAGGUGCUGUCAAAGAAAUUUCAUCCUCCUCUGAGCCCACAGGGAAGUGUGAAGGGUGAGAGCCAAGUUUAUUUACACAUGUACCUUUUAGCUCCAACAAAAAGUAUCAGAUGAGAAGAUCAACACCACUGGCAUGUUUGUGCAUUUGAGAGAGCAACAGAGUCAGAAGGGCGUUGGCAAGUGGCAGUAUGUCCGUUAGCACUCCUCCAAACUUUAAUGCACAUUUUGAAUCAUAUUUUGUUGUAUUCCUUUAUGAAAAUAGUUGGUUUUUACUGGAGUUCAUCAAUCCUUUAAGUUAUCUUAGCUUACUAGCUUCGAGUAAGAAUUAUGUACCUGUAAUGGGCCUCAGCAGCUUGUCCACAGAUUUUAAAACAGACUGAAAAUUGGGGUUUGCUUUUUUUUCCUUUGUUUUAAUCAAUCUGGGAGAAUAAACCCCAAUUUAUGAUACUCUGAGUUUUUUUCAGAGCUUUCAACCACUUUUAUUUUAGCCAACAAAACCGACUAGAAUUGUUUACAGAUUUUCGAAACUAGUAAUGAGAUUAGACGGAUGACUCAGAGAGCUGUAAGAUGUGGCUGAGAGUACAGGAAUCAGUGGUGAGGUGUAUGAUGUCUCAUGUGGUGACAUUUUCAUUAUUUGAAAACAAUAAAAAUUGAAAUUAAAAGAUUUGAUUUGAUCCUGACUCAACAUCUCUCACUAAUAUGAUGAGUUACUUGCUUGGAACGUGUGCCAAUGACUGUUCAAAUGGUCUCAUGCCGUUAAUUAUGUACUUUUGUAAAAUAAAUAGAUUUAUUUAGUUUCAUAGGUCUCUAGUUUUGCCUUGUGAACUUAUACAUAUUGGAAUAAAUAUACAUAUGUAUUCCAGGCUGCAUCUGCCUUUAAUUGUUACUUACCAAACCAACAUGCUUCAUGACAGGUGAAAGCUUUUCAACUCCAUGACGGUGACUGUUUUUCUCUUUUUCUCCCUGCAGACGAUGAAAACUUCUCUGUGAAAUACUUCCACCUGGUAAGAGACAAAUUGAGAUUUAGAUUUGCAUCGAUUUAAUGAUUAAAAGCUCAAACAGAAAUUGGUGACAGGGCUUUUGGGUAGUCUGCGCCCUUAGUCUGGAAGUCAAAAUGAAAGACGUCGAAGAUUUUUCAGGAUGGUGUUUUCUGGUCUUUGCCAGAUCUGCCCUGAAAAGGUUAUUUUUAAUCUCAAUUAGACCAACCUGGUUAAAUUAAUCAUUUAUUUGUAUUUUCUUUUCAUUUUUAGAUUGAUCCUGAUGUAGAAGAGGACGAGAACAAGAGCCCAGAGAGGAAGAAGUUAAAACUAAAGGAAGUGCACCUCACCAAGCUGCUCUCCACUAAGGCAAGAGGAAGCAGUCACAGUCAUUUCACCCAGAAGUGCACCAACACUAACAGAGGCUCUCUUUAGUGUUUAUUUCGACUGUGUGCAGCAGCUUUUGUUGCAUUUCUAGUGUAUUUUGUUUUGCUUUAGACUGAGCAGAUUUUAAAACUUUUAACCCCCUGUAUACACGAUAAGUUUGAACUUCACUAACAUGAUGUUUUUUAGUUUGCUACACCCAUUUUUUUUCCCCAUGUACUGCACUUUAGACCCUUUAUCCGAGGCUGUUAGUACAUUUGGCGCCACCUUGUGGUAUUAACACCACCGUACACUCACCGGUAUCAAAAUAAAUGGCAGCUAUUUCAGCCAAAUCCUUUGAAAGCUUUUUCCCAGAUAAAGAUUAACUUUUAAAAAUACAGCGAGGGCUACGACAGCAGCCAUCAAACAUGGUCUAAUCUCAUCCUUUCUCUUGAAGGUGGCCGUUCAUUCAUAUGUGGAGAACCUGUUCAGAUCUAUCUGGGGGAUGCCGCACUGUCGAGCCCCACAUGCUGUCAAAUAUUUCUUUGACUUCCUGGACACUCAGGCAGAGAACUUGAAGAUCACAGACCCUGAUGUGCUGCACAUCUGGAAGACCAACAGGUACUGCUGAGUCAUCAGAACCACAUCUGUUAAUAGGAAGAGGAAUAAAAAUCCUAACAUGUGUUUUCUUACCUUGUCCUUUUACAGUUUGCCUCUGCGCUUCUGGAUCAACAUCCUCAAAAACCCUCAGUUUGUUUUCGACAUGGAGAAGACCCCGCAUCUGGACGGCUGCCUGUCAGUCAUCGCUCAGGCCUUCAUGGACUCUUUCUCUCUGAGUGAACUCCAGCUGGGGAAGGUCGGAGCACAACAAAUGUCUCAAAGCAAAAACAAGAGCUCCCAUAUUGGGUUUAUAAAUUUAAAUCACAAUAAAAAGAAAGAAAAGUUAACACCAACAUCUCUGAUUUUGAUGUCCUCUAGCAUGCUCCCACCAACAAACUCCUCUACGCCAAAGACAUCCCCAAGUUCAAACAGGAAGUAAAGGUGUACUACAAGCAGAUCAGAGAUCAGCCACCAAUCACUGACCCAGGAUUUAAGGACUUCCUGCAGGAGGAGUCAAAGGUACAGAUCAUUUCAACCCAAAGUACUCAAAAUGAAAUAGUCACUGUUAUAUAAAAGAUAGAUUUGAGUUUUUUUUUUCAUUUCAGAAACAUGAAAACGAGUUCAAUGAAGCUGCAGCACUGAGGGAGCUCUUCAAAUUUGUCCUGAGAUACUUCACAGAGGUCAGUUUUUCGAGAAGGGGGAAAUAUGGCGGGGAUUGUAUGUUUCAAGCUUCUCCACCUGUCUAGCUACUAAACAUGAUCACAUGAUGACACAGUCAGAAGUGACUUCACUUGUGAAACUAGUGUUCGUGCUUGUGUGUGUGUGUGUAGGGGAAAUGACUGUCAGGGCUUUAAGAUUUCGCUUUGCUUCAUCUGGGCUGUUGUUUCCUGUUUAAGUGCACUGACUGACCCUAUUUCUGAACAUGCCACCGCAAAAGCAACCGUCAUGAGCAGUUCAGAGAGACUUGGAGUUUUCAGUUUUUAAAAGCAGUUGUCAAUUUCCUUUAAGAGAAAUUUUCAAACCUAAAAUUAAACAGAAUCAGGGCCCAAAAUAUGGAAACCGUUCUGGAUGUUUACUUUGGUCAGAGGUACAAAAAAGUAGGGGUGGGAAUCACUAGUGGUCCCAAGGCACUAGUGGUUUCCCCGCUCGCUUCUCUAGUUAUACCAACUUUAUUAACGACUGCACGGUAGCAAAAUACAGAGGUCUACCUCUCCAUGUGCAAACCUCAACCAAAACUCCACUCUAUAGCCACAAAUGAUGCUCAGAACAGCACCUAACUUCAUCAACAGAUGCAUGAUUUCUUUAGCAAAGAGACUAAACACAACUCACCUACUCUCUUCCAGCAGCCACUAUUUUGUAGGGAGACAGUCCAUUACCGACUGCAGUGGGGUGACGCAGCUCAAGGAAGAACAUUUAUGAUCACUACUUCAUGGAAAUGCAAUCAGACCGAAACGUUUAGGCAGGAGAGCUACCACGUCUGCAGUGCAAAACGUUUAAUAUGAUGAUUAUUACUUCAUGGAAAUGAUUAAGUAAAGUAAAGCUGUGUAUUGCUAUCCUGCGGUCGUUACUAAAGUUGGUAUAACUAGAGAAGCAAGCGGUCAGCAACUUUCAUCUCUCGACGGAGUGUCUAACUCAGUGUUACGGUUUGUUUGACCCUAACUUAAUUUUACGCCAGAAUAUCCCUUUGACGUUUUUAAAAAUAACCGGGUAUGUAUAAACAGGGUCUGAAACUUCCAGGGCUCUGGUUUAGCUCCACAGAGCAAGUGCUACAUGUACAGAAGCUAAUCCCCAUCACAUGAGCAGCAAGAUUGAUGACAGGCCCCAACAUUUUUUGAUGCAUGUCACCUCCCACUGCUUACUCUCACUUCCUGACUUUCUUCACCUAAUUUUCACUCUCCAUCAAAGGUACACCCCAAAUAAACCCUCAUCCGGGUAGAAUUUUGAUUAUAUUCUACGUAAAGAAAGCGAUUUGUGUUCAAACUGCUUAUCCGAAUAUCCAUCUUCCUGCAGAUUAAAGAGAAGUUGGACCAAAACGGAGCCCCUGCUGAGCUGAAAGAGCAGCUACAUGAAGUUAAAAACUCAUUUGGUGGAGUAAAAAGCUGCUCCUGGAACUGAGCAGAUGCAUGAACUAUGUAAGACACAGAGGGAGGAAAACUGUUACCGUAGAGCCAUCGGGAGAGGACUGAGGAGACUUCUGCACAGCUUGCAACACGUCCUGCAGAAGUGGAAAUGAAGGAACUAAAGAUGAGCAGCGAACCAUGUCGGGAACUGUGUGUCUUCAAAACUCUGGGUUUUCUGCUCGAACAUGACAAAAGUCUUCUGCAGUUCUUGGCAUUAAAACGGUCAUCCUUGAGAGGCACAUUUCAACUGAACUGAAGGGAUGAAUGUCUGGUUUCUGUUCUGUAGCUUCACUGUGGAAAAAAAACUCAGAAUCCCAAACAGAGACCAACCACGGAGAAAAGAUUUAUCUGUACAUUAUUUUUUUCAAAACAAUUCAAAUACAACAAGUUUGAAUCAACCAUGUGCAAUUUGUAUCGACUCAUAUGUAUUUUUUUCCCUGAGUGCUUGGAGGGAAAAUCUGUAAACAAACAUGUCAAUACAAAAAUCAAACCCUGAGGGACUUUUUAAAAAA